rnacentral:rRNA from 1 species
UACGGAGGGUGCAAGCGUUAAUCGGAUUUACUGGGCGUAAAGAGCGCGCAGGCGGUCGUUCAAGUCGAGUGUGAAAGCCCCCGGCUCAACUGGGGAGGGUCACUCGAUACUGAUCGACUCGAAGGCAGGAGAGGGAAGCGGAAUUCCCGGUGUAGUGGUGAAAUGCGUAGAUAUCGGGAGGAACACCAGUGGCGAAGGCGGCUUUCUGGCCUGUUCUUGACGCUGAGGCGCGAAAGCUAGGGUAGCAAACGGG